rnacentral:rRNA from 1 species
AUUGAACGCUGGCGGCAGGCCUCACACAUGCAAGUCGAACGAGUGGCGGACGGGUGAGUAAUGUCUGGGAAACUGCCUGAUGGAGGGGGAUCACUACUGGAAACGGUAGCUAAUCCCGCAUACCAUCAGAUGUGCCCCGAUGGGAUUAGCUAGUUGGUGGGGUAACGGCUCACCAAGGCCACUAUCCCUAGCUGGUAUGAGAUGAUGACCAGCAACACUGGAACUGAGACACGUUCCAGACUCCUACGGGAGGCAGCAGUGGGAAAUAUUUCACAAUGGGCGCAAGCCUGAUGCAGCCAUGCCGCGUGUAUGAAGAAGGCCUUCGGGUUGUAAAGUACUUUCAGCGGGGAGGCGUUACCCGCAGAAGAAGCACCGGCUAACUCCGUGCCAGCAGCCGCUGUAAUAC